CCGGGGGAGCCCGGGCUGGAGCCGCCGGGGCCGGGCCGGGCCUGUCCCUGGGGGGCCGGUGCGGUUCCCCGCCCGCGGGGCGGAUCGGGGUGUCCGUGCCCCCGGGUCCUCCCGGAGCUCCCCGGGAAGGGCCGUUCCCUUCGCGCCCCGCCCAUGGGGUGACACCCCCAGAAAACCCACAGAGAGGGGUGAAAACCCCACAGAAUGGGGUGGAACCCCCCAGAAAACCCCCACAGGUGGGAGUGACCCCACAAAAGACCCCACAGAAAGGGGCGACCCCCCAAAAUAACCCCCACAGGUGGGGUGAACCCCCAAAAUAACCCCACAG